UUGAACGCUGGCGGCAGGCCUAACACAUGCAAGUCGAACGGUAACAGAAAGCAGCUUGCUGCUUUGCUGACGAGUGGCGGACGGGUGAGUAAUGUCUGGGAAACUGCCCGAUGGAGGGGGAUAACUACUGGAAACGGUAGCUAAUACCGCAUAACGUCGCAAGACCAAAGAGGGGGACCUUCGGGCCUCUUGCCAUCGGAUGUGCCCAGAUGGGAUUAGCUAGUAGGUGGGGUAAAGGCUCACCUAGGCGACGAUCCCUAGCUGGUCUGAGAGGAUGACCAGCCACACUGGAACUGAGACACGGUCCAGACUCCUACGGGAGGCAGCAGUGGGGAAUAUUGCACAAUGGGCGCAAGCCUGAUGCAGCCAUGCCGCGUGUAUGAAGAAGGCCUUCGGGUUGUAAAGUACUUUCAGCGGGGAGGAAGGGAGUAAAGUUAAUACCUUUGCUCAUUGACGUUACCCGCAGAAGAAGCACCGGCUAACUCCGUGCCAGCAGCCGCAGUAAUACGGAGGGUGCAAGCGUUAAUCGGAAUUACUGGGCGUAAAGCGCACGCAGGCGGUUUGUUAAGUCAGAUGUGAAAUCCCCGGGCUCAACCUGGGAACUGCAUCUGAUACUGGCAAGCUUGAGUCUCGUAGAGGGGGGUAGAAUUCCAGGUGUAGCGGUGAAAUGCGUAGAGAUCUGGAGGAAUACCGGUGGCGAAGGCGGCCCCCUGGACGAAGACUGACGCUCAGGUGCGAAAGCGUGGGGAGCAAACAGGAUUAGAUACCCUGGUAGUCCACGCCGUAAACGAUGUCGACUUGGAGGUUGUGCCCUUGAGGCGUGGCUUCCGGAGCUAACGCGUUAAGUCGACCGCCUGGGGAGUACGGCCGCAAGGUUAAAACUCAAAUGAAUUGACGGGGGCCCGCACAAGCGGUGGAGCAUGUGGUUUAAUUCGAUGCAACGCGAAGAACCUUACCUGGUCUUGACAUCCACGGAAGUUUUCAGAGAUGAGAAUGUGCCUUCGGGAACCGUGAGACAGGUGCUGCAUGGCUGUCGUCAGCUCGUGUUGUGAAAUGUUGGGUUAAGUCCCGCAACGAGCGCAACCCUUAUCCUUUGUUGCCAGCGGUCCGGCCGGGAACUCAAAGGAGACUGCCAGUGAUAAACUGGAGGAAGGUGGGGAUGACGUCAAGUCAUCAUGGCCCUUACGACCAGGGCUACACACGUGCUACAAUGGCGCAUACAAAGAGAAGCGACCUCGCGAGAGCAAGCGGACCUCAUAAAGUGCGUCGUAGUCCGGAUUGGAGUCUGCAACUCGACUCCAUGAAGUCGGAAUCGCUAGUAAUCGUGGAUCAGAAUGCCACGGUGAAUACGUUCCCGGGCCUUGUACACACCGCCCGUCACACCAUGGGAGUGGGUUGCAAAAGAAGUAGGUAGCUUAACCUUCGGGAGGGCGCUUACCACUUUGUGAUUCAUGACUGGGGUG
rnacentral:rRNA from 1 species